GAAAGUAAUAUUUGCUGUCGCUGCUAACGAUAGUUAGGAAUUAUGUGGAAUAGUUCUGCUUUCU
rnacentral:tRNA from 1 species